ensembl:lncRNA
UUCCAGAAGAUUCGGGUUCAACACUGAACGCUCAGGACAAACGGAAGCACUUGAGGCAAAAGGACAUGCGUUUAAGGUGCUGCGCUAAUUUAUUCCUCACUGAGUUUAAUUGCCACACACCCCAGUUUCGACUGGAUCCUCCUUUUGAACAAUCGCCCGUAUACGAUCAUCACCGCACAGAGUUGAGAAUUUAAUGUUGAAAAGACCUUGACUGGUGGUUAUUUCUGAUAUUAGACGUAUUUUUGCUCGCAGUAUUUGGUCGAUUAUCUUAUGGUCAUGACAGUAGAUUCUUGGCAGGCUAAAUUUGUGAUCCCCAUGCGAUUCCCCAACCUGGAACCAUUGCGUUGUGGCCCCGUGUGGCCCUAACCCUACACAUUCAGCACAGACCUGGAUCCCGAACAGUGUCAAAGAUUCGGCAUCUUCUACAACAUCUUCACGUGGCAACUUGUAGCAUGUGCUUCCACCGAAGUCCCUCGCUCGACAUCUUUCCCGCAUCAGAAUCAGGACUCGAGAAAGGUCUGAAUUUCUCCUUCAAGCUCUCUUUUUUCAUUUUAGUUUAAACCACUUCCCGUUCAAAUGAACGCAGAUUGAAUACCAAUUUGAAAAACCCAGUCUGGAAGUGAGCGGAAGUGCUCUCUGUGAUGGGUCGCUGUCACGGCCGGUGCACUUUGGGCAAAGGUUGGUUAUUCUUAUGCAUCAAGAAGACCCGCUUGAGGUCAGGGGAUGGAAGGUAAAUUGUAAUUGCAGGUGUAUGAUGGGAUGCAAACUUUGGUCUUCUCUCUCUCAAAGUCUGACUCGCUACCCGUCCCUCCCCCGUCCCUCCCCCCACUUCUUUACAUUAUUAUUCACAUUAUUCAACUUCAUAUUUGGCACCUGUGGCCGAUACUUUAAAUGGUGCGACAAGGUGUGAGCUUCUUCUCUCACGCUUUCUCUUCUGUCCCUUUUCACGUGAUCAACCAAAGCGCACACGAUCGAUGUCCUCCUGCAGAGAUGAUUGAAGAACAAGCACCCGCCUGCGUUGGCACUGGACCAGAAUUUGGAGGUGCAGAUGUGGACACGGUGGAGAUAUCUGAUGUCCAACAUUAAACCUGUGAGAUCUUCAAACAGGUGUUACUCCGUUUUAACCCCUGAGUUUCCAGAAGAACUACCAUCUCAAUCUUCUAUUUUGAGACACCAAUCGGUAUUUAAGUGCUUCAAACUAAGUGCUGUUGGGUGCAAAGGAUGCCGUCACUUUCAGUCUGGGCACUUUUUCUGAAUCUGACUCACACUUUCAGUGACUUUUCUGGAAUAAAAUAUUUCUCACUCAGCAUGUGAAAUUAACCUUUUUACAAUAUUUUUAUUUGGAAAUAUUGGCAGACACAGAAUAAAGUGAACAUUGUAUUUCUAUCUUUUCCUACAACAAACCACUGGUUCAUCCACCUAAAGAGCAGAAAGAGGAAAAGGUCACCUCAUUUUGCCGUGCCAUAGGUGAUUGUGUGUGUAUAUAUAAAUGUGUGUGUGUACAUAAACACACACUACAUCUGUAUGUACACACAUGCUUCCGUCUACAAUGUAAACACACAAUCAUUGCAUUCUACAAGCACAUUAUGCCCAAACAUCAAAUGACUGUAGGAUAAGCGAGUGGAAUCUGAAAUGAUUCCAGUGUACGUCACCCUCCGUUUACUGUUCAAACUCAUCUUCUGUAAAUAAUGAGCGUGGGCUAACUGGUUGUAUCAUGAAAUUGUCUGCGAGUAAUGUGAGCUCCUUGCUCAAGGGUGUAGUUGAUGAGGGAGGGAAGAAUCUGCUCCAUGAGUGCAAUUCUCUUUACCUUCACUGCAGCUGUUUUCAGUAAACGUUGCUCCCUUAAUAUGCUCUUUAUACCUGUUGGAUCAGAACUCAUCCUGCCUAUGAAUACAAAUGAACUCCACUCGCUGAGCUCGAUGCAAGUGAGAAUAACUUGCAAGCUAAAUCAAAACAAAGAAAGCCCCGUUUUCCCAGAAACUCAUUACAGAGCCGGCGAAGGCGGGUCUUCAUGUUGUCUCGCCUGAAUUGUAGUUAUCAGUAGGCCACCGCGAUGAAGCUCAAUUAGAGCAGCGUGCUGUAAGGUGAUCACCGGAGGAGAGGAACGGCAGUUCACCCCGAUCAGACAAGGCCAGGGGUUCACAACGGGACCUGGAGCCGUGGAGGGCGGCUAAUGAGCCUCCACGAUUCACCAGAGAGCCUCGUCCAGGGCAGGAAUCAAGAAGCCAGAAAUGCUUGAUGCGUUCAGUUCAGUAAACGGUAUGUGCAAAGGCUGUAGUUCCGAUGCGUGAUGUGUUUCAGUAUGACUAUUCAGUGUGUGAGUAAGUGCCACAUUGCUUCACAAUAAAAUGCAUCUAAAUCACAGGCGUUGUGUAGUGAGUGAGUCUCUAUGUCCAGCUGCUCUGGCUUCCUCCCACAGUC